UGUGCACGACCCAAAAUAAAUAAAAUAAUAGUUGAGGCAAGAGCCGCAGCCGGAGCCGGCGGAGGGUGGGGUGGGGGGCAGGGUGGGUCCUUCUGCCGCUGCUGCCAGUGGAGGAGGAGGCGGCGGCGCGGGGUGUGGAGGGAGUGAGAGAGGGGGUGCUGCUAGUGCAUGUGCAUCGCGGGUCCUCAGCCGUCGGUGCGUCCGCGGCGCCUUCGCCGACCCCUGCGCGCAGGGCAGGGUUGGGCAGGGGGCCGGGUCGGGGGGCAGGUCUCUAGCGGGAGGCGGCGUCGCUGUCUCCCAGAGCUCGCAUCGCUCGGUGGAGCCUACCGGAGAGAGAGGGAGAGCGAGGGAGCCGCAGGCAGCCGGGAGCUCGAGGGAGAGAGAGAGAGAGAGAGGGAGAGAGGCUGGGAGGGAGGGGAGAAAAAAAUGAAGGGAGAGCCAGCGAGCGCGCGCGCCACAGCCCGGGCGGGGGAGGGGGCGAGCGCAGCGCGCGAGUGCGCCAGCGGCUCUGCGCACCCCGCACCGCAAGCCGCCCGCUGACGUCAGCAGGGCCGCGCGCCGGGCCCCCGGGACAGGGAGGGGUGGGGGACGGAGGAGGCGCGCGCGCCGGGAACCGCGUCAGCCGGCGGCGGCGCGCGCGCGCGCGCGCGGCCUUUCCUCCCCCCAGCGCCCCCGGGCCCGCGGCUCCCAGAGGUGGGAGCGUGCGGGGCCUGGCGGGGGCGGAGCCUGGGGCCGGGCGCGCGCCGGGGUGCCCCUCCCCGCCUCCGCCCCCGCCCGACGCGCGGGCUCCUCCGACCUCCUGGUCAAUGGGAACGCGGGACUGGGCCGCCCGCGCCGCGGUCAGGUGGGCCCCCCAGCUCGCGCCCCGCGCCGCCCUGCUCGUCCUCCCGCUUCCGCUCCAUCUUGGCUCCAGCAGCUCGCCUUCUUGGUUACUCUUCUGCUGUCAGGGCUGUGGCAGCCGAGACCAAGUGACCUCAGCAAACGCGAGGAGACAGUGGGUCUGAAUAAACCCGCGUUCCGGUGAAUUCGCCUGGGGCAUGGGGGCGGUCGCGGAUUGUUCUUUUCCUGCGACCCACCAUCAUUAAUUGAGCACCUAGUAUGUGAGAGUAGAGGCUGUGAGGAGAGGAACACAGCAGGAUGAGACAAAGCCCUGGCCUGUUCUCUAGGAGCCUCUACCUCCCUGUGCCUUCGCGGACCCUGCUCUGAGAUUCCCCGCCAUAGGUUGCUAAGAUGAUUAUGCCGAUCUGAUAUAGGGAAAAACUUCAGCAACUCACCCAGAUUCUGCUAUCCCUACAAGGCUGCAUCCGAAAGACCAAAGAGCUCUUCAUGGUCGACUCUGUGAAAAGGAGACCUGGAAAAGAGUCUUCUUGUUGGGGACCCUGGCCUGAGUUGGAGAAUCCUGGGAAGGAUCUACAAUCUACAACCUGGUGUAGAGGAGUCUAGGGUAAGAAGGAGAAUGUAGAGCUUCUGCGUAGUUCACAAUUGUUACCUGACCUCCUAAGCUUUUUAUAUGUUGAAGACUGAUGUUUUACAUCAAGACUCCAAAGGUGAAGAAAGCCAGUGACCCUGUUGCCCGGCCUUCUUGCCCCAACUCAGGUGGUUCUGAAGGAUCAUCUCAUUUUCAGAAUUCCCCACACUUCCACUGAUACUACAUCAUAGCUCUGUGUCUCCCUGGGCCCACUCUGCCUCCUUCCCUUCAUCCCAUGGGUGUUGAUCUCAAGAGCACUCUAAUAAACCUCCUGCUUGCUAACUUCAUGUCAGAGUCUGCUUCCUGGGGAUUCUGACCUAGGACCAAGAAUUUACUGGAAAUUACUACAUCUAUCAGAGGAAAGCUGAUGUUUAGUUACAGAAAUGCUUUAACCUGCCCUGGGCUUAGGUAGAUGAGUUAUGUAAGGACAAACACAGGAAGUCAGAAAGCAAAGGAAACAACGGCCUCUUAAGCAUGCCUGAUUUGCCCACCCAAAUCUGCUCCUUCUACCGCUUUCCCCAACUUAGAAAAUGGUGACAUCUUUUCAGUUGCUCAAGAUGAAAUCUUGGGUUCUUUUCUGACCAUGAUCUCUAACACCACAUUCACAACCCAUCAGGGAAUCCUCAGCUUUACCACCACAACUGGUCCCAAAUCUGCUUCUUCCUUACCACCCAGAAUAACAACCCCUGGUCCCAGUCCCCACUCCUUUGGAUUACCGUGAUUGCCUCCCAAUGUGACCCUCAACCUCAAUCUUUUGCCUCUGCAGUUUGUUCUCAACACAGCCAAAGGGAUCUUUUAAACCAAAGUCCAAUCAUGUGUUUCCUUGGUUCAAAGCUUUCUGGUGCUUGCCGUCUCAUUUGAAGCAAAACCCUAAGUCUUUCCAUGAUCCCUGUCAGGGCCCACCAGAGAAGCAGAAUCAGUAGGAUCUAGAUAGAUACAGAUGAUGGGUAUAAAGAAGAGAUUUGUUAUAGGAAUUGGCUCAUGUGGUUAUGGAGGCUGAGAAGUCCACAGUCUGCCAUAUGUAAGCUAGAGAACCAGGAAAGCCUGUAGUAUGAUUUAGUCCAAGGCUGAAGGCCUGAGGCCUAGGAGGCCACUGGUGUAAAUCCCAAAAGCCUGAGAACCAGGAGCUCCAUCCAACAUCCCAGGAGCUUCACUGUCUGAGAACAGGAGAAGAUGGUCAUUUCAGCUCGAGAAGAGAGAGAGGAAAUUUGCCCUUACUUCAUCAUUUUGUUCUGUUUGAGCCCUCCAUGGAUUGGAUGAUGCCCAUCCACACUGGUGAUGGCAGGUCUUUUUCACUUAGUCUGCUGAAUCAAAUGUUAAUCACUUCCUGAAACACCUUCACAGACACACUCAGAACUAGUGUCAAUACAGUCAAAUUGACACGCAAAAUUAAUCAUCACAGCCUUCUAGGCCCUACCCCCACACUGUCUUGCUGCCCUUUUCAGCCUUCUCUGUGCCAAACCUGUCCCUGACUCAGGGCCUUUGCACUUGCAGUUUCUUCUGCUGGAAAGGCCCAGAUAUUUUUCUCAUGGCUCUCUAAUUACUUUUUUCACUUCCCUGAUUGUAUUAGUCUGUUCAGGUUGCUGUACCAGAAUAUUGCAGACUGGGUGGCUUAUGAACGACAGAAAUUUACUUGUCAAGUUCUGGAGGCUGGAAGUCCGAGAUCAGGGUGCCUACGUGGUUGGGUGAAGGCCCUUGUUCAGGUCGUAGACUUGUCUUCCUUACUGGACAGAAGGGCGAGGGAGCUCUGUGGGGCCUCUACACUCUUAGUAUCAUUAUUUUGAGGAUUAGGAUUUCAACAUAUGAAUUUUUUUAACGUUUAUUUUUGAGAGUGAGAGAGAGAGAGCAGAGAGAGAGGGAGACACAGAAUCCAAAGCAGGCUCCAGGCUCUGAGCUAUCAGCACAGAGCCAGAUGUGGGGCUCAAACUCAUGAGCCCUAAGAUCAUGAUCUGAGCUAAAGUCAGAUGCUUAACCGACUAAGCCACCCAGGUGCCCAUAAUUUCAACAUAUGAAUUUGAUGGUGGUGGGGAAGUGGGGGAGGGCACACAAUUUUUCAGACCAUAGCACUGAUCAAAUGUCAUCUUCUUUGUGAGACCUUCCUUGACCACCAGCACAUGACCCCAACCUCCUUUCCCUGCAACCCCAACUUGCCCUGCCCUGCUUAUUUUUCUCAUGGCACUUACUGCCAUAUGAUUAAUUCACUUGUUUACUUAUUUAUCAUCUAACCCUUUCCUCAAUAGAAUGGAAACUUCAUGAGGGGUGUUUGUUUACUUCUUUAUCCCCAACACCUACAACAGUGCUUGGCAUGGAGUAAAUGCUUAAUAAGUACUUGUUGAAUAAAUGAAAUCUUAAUUACCUGGCUGUUUGGAGAUGUCUCUAGUGGGAAGACUGCAUAAGCAUGGGUUGUAUUCCUUGUUCUGCUGCUUACUUGUCUAAUGACCUUCCCCAAGCCCCUUUUCCUCUCUGAAAGCUGAGGAGGCAGGAUAAGAGGGUCAUCCAGAAUCCCUUCCCAAGUCUGAUCUUUUUUAAAGCUGUGAUUUUUUUUUAAAGCAAACAACCAGCUGUGGCAAAGAAGAGAUCAGAAUCCUCUCAUGUGGUUUUUCUCACUUGGAGAUGGGGAGAGGGAGCAUUGAGAAAGUUGGGGUUCAGGCCGUGGUGUGCUGUGUACUUGGAGAUAGUUAUGUUUUUUUUUUUUUUCUGAUUUACACUUUCUCCUUCCCUAUAACCCUCCUCCCCAAGGAGAUAUUAUUGCAGCUAUGCUUCUAUUGCUUGAGUGACUUCCACAUGAAGCCUGGCUCCAGGAUCCCUCUCUGUGACAUCCUACCUGAAGGAGUAGCUCCAAGGUGCUUGACUCCUUUUUUUCAUCUUAAACUUUCUGCCCCUCAUGUGUGUUCUGUGACUUGUUUUGGCCUCAUGUCAGGCGGAGUGAGUGUCCUUGCCUUUUGAUCUGGUCAAUGGGAUGUGAGCAGAUGUGGCACCAUCAGUGGCUUGAAAUAAGCUUGGACUAUGGACUUGUCUUUGUGAGCUUCUUCCACCAACAUAAGAGAAACACACCCUGGCUAGCCCAGCGGUCCAGGAAGAAUGGAGGGAUACCCAGAGCAGACCUGAACCAAACCCAAGGCUGGGACCAAACUCAGCUGAGCCGACCAACCCACACAUGCAUGAGUGAGCAUAAAUUAUUGUUGUAAACCACUGAGUAGUGGGGUGGUUUCUUACAUGGCAUUAUUGUGGUAAUAGCUGACUGAUACCAGUCUUAACAAAACCCAGCCCAGGGUACUCACUCUUCCAGAAAAUAUUCCCUUAACGCAGAUUUGGCCAACAGUAAGAAUUUCAGGUAUGUUUCAAGUCAGUGGGGUCACUCGUUUGUGGGGAAUGAGAGAGGGACUGUAGCAGAAAGAAGGGAAUGGGAGCAGCCAAUAUUGCUCAGUUGUACCAUCUGAUGAGUCUGAAAACAGGAAGAGCAAGGAUGGAAAGGAUUUAUAGAGAAGCUGGUAUGAUGAGGCUGGUAUUGGCGUUAUGUCUUGGGGCUUCUUCCUCAAGGCCUCCCUCCAGGUCAUGGGGCUAUUAACCCUGUCCAUGGCCUGAAAGGUAGUCUGACCUAGGGCUCCUGGGUAUUUCACACUGGAGCAGCAGGGCACUGCUAUUCUGGCAGUGGAGAUUAUGCCUUCCACGUGGACACUGUGGACAUUUAGAAUCAAGUCUUGUUAAAAUAUCCUGAUUUGCAUAUUAAGAAAGUCAAUGGAGAAGCUACUUUUUUUUUUUCUUCUUAUCCAUUGAAAAGAUGAGCCUUAAGGAGACUUUACUGCAACUACGUUUUUAGGGCUUAAGUGAAUUCCAAAUGCUACUGUAAAUUCCAUUUAUUAUUUAUACAGCUUCAGCUCCCUUGCGAAGCUGAGUGCCUUACAGGAAGGAAGGAGAGAUCAAAUCCAUGUGGAAUGGAGAGGUCUUAGGGGGUCAGACUGUGUGACAAAGGGACAGGGUCUGUGGUGUGGAUGGAGGUGUCUGUAGGGAGAUGGGUCAGGAACCUGGUUGAGUAGCAGUGGGAUCAAGAUGGACAGAGCUAGGAGAGUCUCUAAGAUCAUCUGGGCCUAGGAUGUUUUGCUAACUUUUCUGGUCCUGAGAAUCAUGAGUUACUUGUUAAAAAUACAGAUGUCCAGAUCCCUCCCUUGGAGAUUCCAUUUUAGCAGUUCAGAAGUAGGGUCCAAACAUACAUACUCUUAAGAAGGAGACCGGGUGAUUUUGACAACUAAGCAUGUGUGGAAAAUAGCGAUCUAUCAAGAUGUCUGUUUCAUAAAUGAGUAAGUUGAGGCUCAAGUAGGGGUCUUGCUCCAGUUCCCAAAGGCCCAGUGAAUGCUAGAGUUGAUGUAGGACAAGGUCUCUGAGACUUGAAUGGCAUGGUUUAGUAUGGCCAAUUUACAGCCAGUCUGAGACUGACAGUAUAGUCUGCAGGUUUGCUAAUCUUUUGAUUCUCUGACUUUUGCUGCUCAUUUUCUCUUUAAGAGUAGCUGAAGGCAGGAGUCAUGGAGCCAGAACCCAGUUCAAAUCCUAUCUUUACUUCUAACUGCUGUGCCACCUUGGGCACAUUGUUUAACUUCUCUGAGCCACUGGUAUGAUCAUUAAAUAAGAUAAUGUACCUAUGCAUAGCAGAUGCUCAAUAAAUAUUAUUGCCUACAGAGUGCCAGGCCCUGUUCCAAGCACCAUAAUAACCAGCAUAACUCAUUUAAUAAUUUUUUUAAAAUUUUUUUAACACUUUAUUUAUUUUUGAGACAGGGAGAGACAGAGCAUGAACAGGGGAGGGUCAGAGAGAGGGAGACACACAAUCUGAAACAGGCUCCAGGCUCUGAGCUGGCAGCACAGAGCCCGACGCGGGGCUCGAACUCACGGACCGUGAGAUCAUGACCUGAGCCGAAGUCGGCCGCUUAACCGACUGAGCCACCCAGGCGCCCCUAAUAAUUUUUUUAUUAAUCCCAUUAUAAAAUUAAGUGAUGAACACAGAAUGAGACUGGCUUGUUCAAAAUCAUGCAUAUAGCAGGUGAGGGGCAGGAGAAGAUUCGAACUCAAGCAGUCUGUAGUUGUCCUUUCCUCUGAGGGCUGGCCCAAGUCACUCUUACUCAGUAUGCCCCUGGUGUAAGUAGACAGAAGUGCCUGAUGAACUCAUUUGAGAUUUAAAAGGCAGGACAAGAAAUGCACUUCAAAUGUGCUUGAGGGUGGGGCAGUUGGAGAGGGACGUCCAGAGGCCUUGGGGGAGAAAGGCCGGUACUCCCAGAAGGUUGGGCAGGGGCUCCAGAACCAAUUCCUGGGUGAUAAAGACUGAUCUCAGGCCAAGUAAUUAGUAUUGAAAUGCGCAGAAGCCAGGAAGUUUCCUCGCAUUGUCGUCCGCAAUAGAGAAAAAUCCAGACUGAACUGGCUGCUUCCAUUAGAAGUGAUGUAACGAGCCGGCUUUGGCCUAGUUUUCUUAAAGCAGGCGGCCCCCUGGCUCUCCCACACCCUUCUUUCUGGAUCUGCAAGUGACAGCUACCGCCAUCUAGCGGUGUAAGCGGCACUGCACAGGCACCAGGAAAGAACGGUUGGUUCUGGAUCGCAAGGAUUUAAGAUGCCUCUGGCCUGACUUAAAGAUAAGAGCCCCUGAUCUUGAUAGGGAGGUUUAUUCUGCUCAGAGCACGUUGGUGAUUUUUACUUCGUUAAGUCUUCUCAACAAUCCAGGGAAGUAGGCAGGGACCAUUGACUCCAUUUUAUGGACGAGGCAGCAAGUCCUUACAGGGGAGGGGUCUUUCUUAACAGCUGCAUUGCCAGCUAUUAAUGGAACUAGGACUGGGACCCACGUCUUCACGACUCCAGUUUAUUGGAUGAGAAGUGACACAUAGAGGCUGUCAGGUCCCUUGAAGUCACUUUGGACAGGGGAACAGAAGAUGAUUCUUCCUGGAGGUCCCAGGUACUU